UACGGAGGGGGGCUAGCGUUGUUCGGAAUUACUGGGCGUAAAGCGCACGUAGGCGGCUUUUGUAAGUUAGAGGUGAAAGCCCCAGGGCUUAACCCUGGAAUUGCCCUUUAAGACUGCAUCGCUAGAAUCGUGGAGAGGUAAGUGGAAUUCCGAGUGUAGAGGUGAAAUUCGUAGAUAUUCGGAAGAACACCAGUGGCGAAGGCGACUUACUGGACACGUAUUGACGCUGAGGUGCGAAAGCGUGGGGAGCAAACAGG
rnacentral:rRNA from 1 species